AGACAAAUGUCAUAAACUAGCACAACAAAGUUACUAAUUUAAAUAAUAAAUAAUGGUGGAAUAAAUAUUGCUAUUGUUAUUAACGAAUGAAUAAUAAUUAUUCUUUGGAAAAGCUUACUUCUUAAAGAUGUUGAAAGAAGGUAACUUAUUUAUCAUGUUAUGUUUUUUUUUCAUAAUUUUUAGUCACUACAGGCACUAACAAAUUUCUUAGAAAGUAGAUCUUAUUUGAAAAACAUGCUAAAAUAUGGAAGAAAUAUGAAGCGAAGUUAAAUAUCGAAAAAAAAUUUCAUUUAUCAUAUUACAUUACUGAUCAGUUGUGAUCAUUAACGUUAGAAGUUAAGUGACGCGGACUUUUAAGAUUAAAUUCCUACAUAAAGAUUUUCCUCUAACCAAACGUUAUAUUGAGCAAUUUGUACAUUGCCGAAGAAGAUAAGAUCUUGAAAUUUCUUUUCACAAGCAAUAUGGAGAUUGAAGUUGAAUAUUCGAAACUUUAGUAUCGUCCAAGAACUUUACCAUUAUUUUGAUUCUACACAUUGUUAAAAGUUAACUAGUAAUUAAAUAUCAACUGAAAAUAUUUUGAAAGAAUAGGAAAAAUAGAGUGAGGAAAUUCAUAUAUAUGCAGAUAAUUAUAUUCAGAAUUUAAGAUACUUACAAAAUAGACUAUUUGAAAAGGGCAAUAAAGAAUCUACAAUUUAUACUAGCUACUAUAGAAGUUACUCAAACUGUUUCAUAAGUAGAAAGUAUAAAAGCACCACGAAACAAGAACAGGGCACAUAAUGAGAUCUAAUGAGAAGAAUCACUAAUUGUUUUGCUUCAUGGCCAAGGAAUGUUCAGAAAUACCAGUAGAAUAACAAUUCACAUUUAGGAAACAAUAACAAGAAGUUACAAUCUUGUAAAAAAUUAAAUCCAUUUCAAGAAAUUCCAUUGCAUUUAAAGAAAUCCUCAAUCCAUAUCAAUUGAAUGGAAACUUAUAGGGAAGUAGGGUUUCUUGUUCAAAUAAUGAAAAUUCAAUAGACUAGGAAUUUUUAAGGAAAUUAUUUAUUCAGUUGAAAAUAAAUUUUACAUUUUACACUUUUUAGAUAAUAAAAGAUAGGUAUAUUUUUGUAAAGUUAACUUCAUGGAAACUACAGUAAACAAAUCUAUGAAGCUGAAAAUCUAGUACUACCUAACAAGCUGAAACAUUGAGUAUAUGGUUAAUAGAAAUAAAGAAAAUGAUUAAUUGGAUAUAGAAAUAACACAUCUCAUUAAAAUUAUUUGGUAAAAUUUCAAAUAUGAUGUUGAAUUAUUAUAAAGUUACUUUAGAAUAUUAAGUGGAUAAACAAGCAAUAGUAAUGACAACUUUUUAUUCAACUAAGUUAAUCACUAGAACAAAUAUAAGUAUUCAUUCUAAUUUAUGAUCACUAUUAAGUUGGAUAAUAUGAAGAUAUACAUUUAACAUCCAGAGAUCUUUGGAUACCUAUUAUACUAACAAGAGUACAUUUACAUAGAGAAAUUUAGGGAUUGCAAGCUGAUAUCAAAGCUUUCAAUUAGUAACUUUUGUUUGUAGAAAUAUGUAUGCUAUUAUUGUUAAUUGUUUUCAUUUUUGUAUAAUUUCAUUAUCAUGUAUAGUUUUGUUCUUGGAUUUUCUAUAGGUUUGUUUUUUUCGACAGUAAAUUCUAGUUUUCCCAAAUAUACUGCAAGUGAAAGGUCUUUCCAUCUAAUAUUUAGUUGGUUAAUUUUAGUAGUGGAUCAACAAUUUCACUCGAAAUAACUUCUACUGGAUUGGAUCUCUUUUAUUUUUAAUUACCUUUGAAUCUAGGUUGCAUGAUGAGUACCUCUAUAAUCAAUUAUAAAUUUGACUUAUCGAAUAAUAAGCAAGAAUAAGUUCAAUCAAAACCUUUGAGUUAAUUGUGAGCAAUCCAUAGAAGUUCCUUGCUUAGUAUAAUAACACAACUAACAACUAAUGUUCUGUAUGGAUAUGAGAUAUUGUCUAAAAUUAUAUUCUCCACAUAAAUGCAAUGAUAAAUACGUUGUCGACAUUCCUGAAGUGAAUUGUAACAUCAAUGUUCCCUGGUAUCUGAGUAAAUUUUAUGAGAGUUACACACAACAAAGUCAUCUGCAUAUAAGAUUAAAUUACAGUUAAUAUCCUCAUAUAGUUAUGAAUAAAGCACAGCUCUCAGAAAUGAUUUCCUGAUGUGUUGCAAGUGAUUAGUUUAUAAUAAAAUUUACUAUGAAUGGAUUACAAAUCCAUGAUAGCAUCAAAGACUUUCCUGUGAUAAUAUAUCUGCAAGUUAUAUGCCUAAGUAAUAUCAAAUAAGUAUGCUCGCAGAUAAUUUUAAAAAAACAUUUGUUUUACAUAAUUUUAACACUUCGUUUGUUCAAAUGCUUUAAUAUGAACAAUAAUUGCAAUGUUACAGGAAGGUAUAAAUGGAAUCUCCUUAAACUUUUUAUUAUUAUUAAUAUCGAUCUUCCCAAACAUCAAUUAUUAUAAUAGAAAUCUUUAGGAGUUAUUUUAAGUUAAUGCUUUCUUACAGAGAUGGCGCUUGAUUUGUAGAAAUAGUAGUUUAAUGUUCUAUGUACAUAGUUUUUGUUUUUAGUAGUUGAUUAUUAUUGAGAAAAGUAAGGUUAAGAAAAGAUAUGGUUUUACCGGGUUUUUAGCACAUGGUUGGUUUUAUAAGAUAUAAGUGAUAGAUUGAUUUUAAUCAACACUGCUGUGUAACAAAUAACAACAUCAAUCAUCAUAUAAUUCUUUUAAAUGUUAGGUACCGUUCUUGCAUGUAUAAUUUGUUUGCAACUAAUGAUUCAUCAAUUUGAUUAUUAAAUAAACCGUUUUUAUCUUGGGACACUAAAAAUAAUGGAGUUUAAUUGGGAUCAUAAAAUAUCCCAGUAUAGUCUCAACUACAAAUCAUCUAAGGUUCAUGAAAAUAUUUGUUUUAAAUAAAUUAACGCACUCUUGGUGGGAUUGACAUGAUUCAUAAAAUAAUGGCAAGUUUACAUUUUACACAGGUACUUAAUAAGGUUUGAAUAUUAUCUUUUUUUAAUGAAAAUAGUAUAAAUGUUUAAGGUAUAUUGCCACAAAGAAUAUAAAUUUGUAAUAUGAUAGUGGAACUUAGAUAAAUGGUUUUUAGAAAAGAAGAAAAUGAAAUAUUCAAUUUCAAAAAUAAACAUAUUGAGACAUUAAUUCCGAAUUGUUUAUUGCCAGCAUAUAUAAGGAUAUGAAAGGCACCAGAUAUAGGUGGUUUGUCGGUACCGGACACUAUUUGAUUUUUUAAGUGUUUUAUUUGUAACUUUUGUUGUUUUUUAUAAUGUAACUUUUUCAUAUUAACAUUACUAGGAAGAAGUUGUAACACUAAGAAUUUGUUUUGAAAGUUCAUAAAAUCAAAACUGAUUCGCGAAAAAUAAGAUUCGUUUUCUUAGCCGCUUACACGCUCAUUUGAAUAAAUUUUAUCACACAAGUGUUGUUUUUUGAAAACAGUUUGUAAUCGCGUAAUUUUAACUUCUACGAGGCAUGCUUCAACUAUCAAGUUCUAGAGUUUAGACAAAGAGGUAACAUACGAGGUAUGAUCAAAAUAAAUUUGACCCAUAUCUUGUUUAUUAUUCGUUGAAAAUAUUGUUGGUGUUUAGGAUUAAUUUGAGAUUAUUAACAAAUUAUUAAUUGACUUUGAUAUUUCCUGAUAUACAAAUAGCUCAUAGUCAAAAUACAGUCUGCUUUAGCUAUAAGAAGUUUUUAAUUUUUAAUACACAAAAAAACAAACAAGUAACAAUUCAAAUUAUUCAUUGUUUAAUAGUUUCCGAUAAUUGUAAAUCAAAACAUUUAUUGUCAUAUAAACUAAUUUGAAAAACUUUGAAGUGACAAAGAAAUUUAAAGUGCCAAAUUAAAAAAUUAUCGUUAAUUUGUUUUUGCCUUCAGCAAAAAAUAAAAUAACAGCCAUUCAUUAUUGUUAAUUAUAUUAUAAUUGUUAUGAAUAAUAAAUAUUGACAAAAACCUGUUCAUUAUAACAACAGAAGGUCAUUUAGUAAUAUUUGCACUUUACAUGUUCAAAACUGGAAAUUAACCCGUAUAAUGUUAUUUUUGACGUAGAUGAAUAAUUUAUAUACUAUUCUACGAAUUAGGAUAACUCAUUGUCAAUAUAGCAGCUACAGCCUAGGCCACUAAAAAUGUUAGAAACAAUAAUUCAAAUCAUUUUCAACAAAAA